rnacentral:tRNA from 2 species
UCCGGCAUAGCUCAAUGGGUAGAGCAUCCGGCUGUUAACCGGAGGGUUGCAGGUUCGAGUCCUGCUGCCGGAGCCA